GACGAACGCUGGCGGCGUGCCUAAUACAUGCAAGUAGAACGCUGAAGGAGGAGCUUGCUUCUCUGGAUGAGUUGCGAACGGGUGAGUAACGCGUAGGUAACCUGCCUGGUAGCGGGGGAUAACUAUUGGAAACGAUAGCUAAUACCGCAUAAGAGUAGAUGUUGCAUGACAUUUGCUUAAAAGGUGCAAUUGCAUCACUACCAGAUGGACCUGCGUUGUAUUAGCUAGUUGGUGGGGUAACGGCUCACCAAGGCGACGAUACAUAGCCGACCUGGGAGGGGGGUCGGCCAAACUGGGACGGGGGAAAGGCCCAAGACCCUUAGGGGAGCAGCCGGAGGGGAUCUUCGGGAAAGGACGGAAGGCUGGACGAGCAAAGCCGGGGGGAGGGAGAAGGUUUUCGGGUCGGAAAGCUCUGUUGUAAGGGAAGGAAGAGUGUGGGAGUGGAAAGUUCACACUGUGACGGUAUCUUACCAGAAAGGGACGGCUAACUACGUG
rnacentral:rRNA from 1 species